GACGAACGCUGGCGGCGUGCCUAAUACAUGCAAGUCGAGCGGGCCUCCGGAGGUGCUUGCACCUCCGGAAGGCCAGCGGCGGACGGGUGAGUAACACGUGGGCAACCUGCCUUUGAGGCCGGGAUAACACCGGGAAACCGGUGCUAAUACCGGAUGCGUCCCCUUUCGCGCCUGCGAGAGGGGAGAAAGACGGUCUUUAAGGCCGUCGCUCAAAGAGGGGCCCGCGGCGCAUUAGCUGGUUGGUGGGGUAAGGGCCUACCAAGGCGACGAUGCGGUGCCGACCUGAGAGGGUGAUCGGCCACACUUGGACUGAGACACGGCCCAGACUCCUGCGGGAGGCAGCAGUAGGGAAUCAUCCGCAAUGGGCGAAAGCCUGACGGGGCAACGCCGCGUGAGUGAGGAAGGUUUUCGGAUCGUAAAGCUCUGUUGUGAGGGAAGAACAGCUUCCGGAGGAAAUGCCGGAGGUUUGCCGGUACCUCACCAGAAAGCCCCGGCUAACUACGUGCCAGCCGCCGCGGUAA
rnacentral:rRNA from 1 species